CGCGGCGAGGUGACCUGGGCGGCUGGGCGCUCGGGUCUCGC
rnacentral:misc_RNA from 1 species